rnacentral:lncRNA from 1 species
UUGGUGGCGGCCCCGGUAGGGGUCGUCAUUUGCCACAUAUCUUAGUGGCAUUGGCGGCCAUUUUGGCUGUUGCUAAUGUUGUUUCUGCUGAUCCUUAUGUAUAUGCUUCUCCACCUCCACCACCUUACGAGUACAAGUCGCCACCCCCUCCUUCUCCCUCUCCACCACCGCCUUAUGAGUACAAGUCGCCACCACCUCCUUCUCCAUCUCCUCCACCGCCAUAUGAAUACAAGUCGCCACCACCUCCUUCACCAUCACCUCCACCACCAUACUACUACUCUUCCCCACCACCUCCGAAGAAGUCACCUCCACCACCAUACUACUACUCCUCUCCACCACCACCCGAGAAGUCACCUCCUCCACCAUACUACUACUCCUCUCCUCCACCCCCGGAGAAGUCACCUCCACCACCUUACUACUACUCUUCUCCACCACCCCCCAAGAAGUCACCUCCACCUCCAUACUACUAUAGUUCUCCACCACCACCCGAGAAGUCACCUCCACCACCUUACUACUAUUCUUCUCCUCCACCACCCGAGAAGUCACCUCCACCACCAUACUACUACUACUCUCCUCCACCACCCAAGAAGUCACCUCCACCUCCAUACUACUACAGUUCUCCACCACCACCAGUUAAGUAUCCUCCUCCACCAUACUACUACCCUUCUCCACCACCACCCAAGGAAUCACCUCCUCCACCAUACUACUACUCCUCACCACCACCACCCAAGAAGUCACCCCCACCCCCAUACUACUACUCCUCUCCUCCACCACCAGUUAAAUAUCCUCCUCCACCAUACUACUACUCUUCCCCACCACCACCAGUUAAGUACCCUCCUCCACCAUAUUACUACACUUCUCCUCCACCACCUACUCCUUACUAUCCUCCUCAUCACCCCUUGAUUGUUAAGGUUGUAGGAAAAGUCUACUGCUACAGAUGUUAUGACUGGAAAUACCCAAAGAAAUCCCAUGACAA